AACGAACGCUGGCGGCAUGCCUAACACAUGCGAGUCGAACGAGACCUUCGGGACCAGUGGCGCACGGGUGCGUAACGCGUCGGACCCUGCUCUUCUGAUCGGACUAACUACCAGAAAGGGGUGCUAAUACCGGAUAAUGACUACGGACCAAUGAUUUAUCGCCCUUGGAUGGGCCAGCGUUGGAUUAGCUAGUUGGUAGGGUAAAAGCCUACCACGGCGACGAUCCAUAGCUGGUCAGAGAGGAAGAUUAGCAACACUGGGGCUGAGAGACGGCCCAGACUCCUACGGAAUGCGGCAGAGGGGGAUAUUGGACAAUGGGCGGAAGGCUGAUCCAGCGAUGACGCGUGAAUGAUGAAUGGCUUAAAGUUGUAAAGCUUUAUUACCAAGGAAGAUAAUGACGGUACCGUGAUAAUAAGCACCGGCUAACUCCGUG
rnacentral:rRNA from 1 species